UAAUCUGCCCUUGGCCCUUACAGAGGCUGGACCCCCAGCUCCGAAAACACCUCAAGAUCAACAAGACUCCCAAGGUCAAAGACUAAGCCCAGCUGCCAGCAAGUUGACAACAAAGGUUGCUUAAGGAUCAGAUGAAAUUACCAGCCUGUAUUGCCCUCCAGGGGAGGGGUGUCGUGGAUGGAGCUGGUGACGCCAGGAAGGAAGGAUAAUGCACAGCAAAUAGCACAACGUUACACUUUGCUGGUGUCUCUCAUCCCAACACCGCCUGAGGCAAAGUGUUGUGUUCCCUCCAUGCUGAGGCCUGCUGUCUGUGAUUCCUGAAGCAAGAGUCUUGGUUAUGGAAACACCCUGUAGGACUCAAUAAGGUCCGUGGACAGAAAACGCUAAGUAUCUUAAAGUGCCAACCAGCCGCUGGACAACUGGGGGUUUGCCAGCCUGGUAUCCCACAGGAAAACCAGCUUCCCAACCCCCAAUGACCAGGGAGCCAGAUACAUAAGAUGAAACAAUGAGCACCCAGCCUUUGCAUCCUGCAGCGCAUUCUUUCAGGAGGAAGAGCUUAAACCCCAGCAUCACCUUCCUGUGCACAUGGAGACCCCAGCAUCGCUUUAGUUCAAAACAACUUAGAACCAGAAGCACCCCGGGUCAGGAAUAAAUAUAUUUUUAAAGUCAAGAGUUCACUAUGUCUACCUACAAGCUAAAUUCAAACUUGUGAAGGUUGGGACAGUCUCACAGAGCAAAAUCUUCCCGAGUCCUUCCCAGAUUUGAAUCCUCUCUUUGAUGAUCUAAUAAACUUUGUUGAUCAGUGAGAAUUUUAGUCCAGUUAACAGCCUUGUC